rnacentral:rRNA from 1 species
ACUCAAAUGAAUUGACGGGAGCCCGCACAAGCAGUGGAGUAUGUUGUUUAAUUCGAAGCAACGCGAAGAACCUUACCAGGUCUUGACAUCUAUGGAACACCGAGUAAUGUUGGUGGUGCCCUUCGGGGAACCAUAAGACAGGUAGUGCAUGGUUGUCGUCAGCUCGUGUCGUGAGAUGUUGGGUUAAGUCCCGCAACGAGCGCAACCCUUGCGAAUAGUUGCAGUGCAGCGAUGUACUGGUCUCUAUUUGGACUGCCGUUGACAAAACGGAGGAAGGUGGGGAUGACGUCAAAUCAUCAUGCUCCUUACGAUCUGGGCUACAAACGUACUACAAUGGCGCGAACAAAGGGGAGCAAGGGCGCGAGCCGGAGCAAAUCCCAAAAACGCGUCCCAGUUCGGAUUGCAGGCUGCAACUCGCCUGCAUGAAGUUGGAAUUGCUAGUAAUCGCGGAUCAGCAUGCCGCGGUGAAUACGUUCUCGGGCUUUGUACACACCGCCCGU